rnacentral:lncRNA from 1 species
CUAUUUCUCCGCUUCAAAGGUUAACAAAAACCUACACGAAAUACAAGUUAUUCAAGUUAGCUUCCAUUACCAACUUCUUGUGAGUUCUCCAUCAUGUAUUCCAAACAUGGUUUUAAAUAACGGGUUCUCCAUCAUGUAUUCCAAACAUGGUUUUAAAUAACGGCCGUUACGUAACAUAAUGGCCGUUACGUAACGUAAUGGCCGUUACGUAACGUAACGGCCGUUAUGUAACGGAUUUUGGAGGGCUGUUACCCGUUAUCCCGUUAUACAACGGCCCCUCCUGAUUUGCAGGCGUAACGGCCGUUACGUAACAGUAACGGUAACGGCCGUUACCGACCGUUACAUAACGGUAACGGCCAUUACCAAUAAUUAAAAUUUUUUUAUAUCCUUUAUUUUCUGCUCCCUAAUCUCAUUUUCUUUAGUUUCUACACUUUUCAGCAGCUCUAAAAACUACAUUUUUUAAGUUUUCUCUUUCCUUUCUCUUUCAAAUUUCAAUCUUCCCUGCAUAUUUCUCGUAUAAACUUAGAUCCAUUAUAAACUACUCUAUUUCCAAGUUUAUUUCUUCUAAAAAGUUAGUUAAAUUUUAUCUAUUUUAGUUUUUAAUUGUUGUCUUUUUCCCCUUUUUUUAUAAGUUUUUGUGGAUUAAAGUUUUAGUUUUGAUUAAAAUUAUACUUUGAGCUAUUAGUUUACUCGAUCUACAAAGAUUAUGUUAAUUUUUCUAAUUUUAAACUAUAUGAUGUUUAACUUAAGUUAAAUAAUUUAUAUUUUAUAUAUUUAUGUUUUGUUAUGCAUUUGUAUAUAUUGUUCUGAAUUAAAUCUAAUCAAUAUCAUUUUAUUUAUGAACUUUGCAAAUUUUUUUUAAAAAUUUGCGUAGCGCCAGAGCGCUACCGUUACGUUAUGGCCAUUACAGGUCUGUUUUCGUUACUCGCGACCGCGAACGUGGCCGCGACCGCGAUUUAAAACCAUGAUUCCAAAAGAGCAGAAGAUAUAAGGGAACAAGAAGUUCUAAGAACAUAUAUUCAUGGAUUUACCUCCUGGCAUAACUCCUGUACCACCAGCAAUACCUGCAGCAGUAUUUGCAACAAGGUUGCCAUAAAGAUU